CAACUACGAGAAAAUAGGAGAAAUCUAUUUUUCUCACGAACGACGCUUCCUCUUCUCGAACUCUCUCUUAAGGGCGGCUAGCACCCUUCCCUAACCACCAACAUGGAAAUUGACCAAUUAACAGUAACGCCAAUUUCCCUCACUUUCCGAAUGAAGGCUUUUCUCCACGAAUCCGAUGAUUUCGUGCCCUUAGGCACACCCAUCAUAGUUUUCCUCGACAGCGUUACCGUCGUUCGCUACCCGCUAUCCCUAUUUUUCAUCGA
rnacentral:misc_RNA from 1 species